UCGAUAUCGCCAGUGGAGUCGCCAUCUGUCGUAACGUGCGAGUCCAGGAACCCGACCACUAGACGUUGACGAAAAUAAAUGUCACGACCCAAAUUCCGGGUCAUGACCGGCGCAUGGGUCCAAUGGACGUAAUCCACUAAACCCAGGCAAGCCUAUUAUUUAUCUUACUUAUGAUUCUAUUUAUUAUCACUAAGUCCUAUUUCAUGACUUUGAGUCAAAAUAGUGAUAUACAUUGCCAACUCGUACUGGCAUUACUCUUUUAAAAUUUACAUUAAGUUCAUCUAUACAUAACAAAAUAAU
rnacentral:lncRNA from 1 species